CACACUAAUCUACCUCCCAGGAAGUGGUUGGGGGAGCGCCAAGAGGAGCUGGAGUGACAGCAGGGCACAGAGGCUGCAGUCCUUGCACCGUGCACUUGCAGAGCUGAACACCACUUAACAACGGGAACCUAUGGACACCCAAAAGGACCAGAUGAAUCAUCUCGAAGGACCCGAUAAAUAUCGGUGCUGGGCCCAGGCAUGAGGCUGGGGUUUUGUUUGGGACCCCACACCCACUCGGUGACAGGGCCCCAAGACCAACCUCAGCUGAACGGACCCCCCCCCACUUUCCCAAAGUCAGCUGUUUCUGUCCCUGCAAAUGCCUCUGAAAUGUCAAUUGUGGGCCACUCUCCCUCCACCCUCCUCCUGCGAGUCAUGUAGCAGCUCAAAUAUAUUAUACAUAUUAAAAGAAUAUAUUCUCUGGCAGCCCUGAAGGGGAUAAUGAAACCUAUAUAUAUAUAUCUAUAUAUUUAUACACAAUGGAUUGGCUUGAAAUGCUCUGAAUAUGCCUCCAGCUGUGGCAACCCUUUGAAAUAUGACACUCGAACAACGCCUCCCCCACUGGCGGCUGGCGGGAGACAUUAAAGAUUUAAAAAAGGGGGAAGGAAGGAAGGAGAGGAAGGAGAAGAAAAAGGAGGCAGCUGCUUUUGCCUUUGGCUGUGCAGCGGCAAACUGUGUUUAAAUAUUAAAGCCACCCAUCACCCGGCCCAGCUGUCCGCCCCCUUCAGUGCCAGGGUCUCCGGUGGCUCCGCAUGGCUGGGGGUUGUCAUGCGCAUCUAACCCCUCCAGCCCAGGAGGUGGGGGGGCAGCGAGGCGGGGGGCUUGCCUAGGCUUGGCUGAGAGCAGGGGCCUGGUGUUGGAGUGCGGUGGGGGGAGUCCGCUGCCUCUGAGACAGAAGGUGUAGGUUUGGAUACAGACUCUGCCUGUUAGGUGCUGUGUGACCUUGACCUUGGGGAAAUCUCUGUCUCCAUCUCGGGGCUGCGGUUUCUUCAUCUGUACUAGGAGAGACUUGGACUGCGUCCUGGGGCUUUAGGGGGCCUGUGAACCCUCAAAAAUGACAAGCAGAAUUGGGGCCAGGACAAGGGGAGCACAGGCGCACUGAGUGACUGGCCCUUCUGCGUGUUCCGAGCGUUGUUCCAUCCCGACACUGGUGCUCUCGGGCUCAGGCAGGGCCUCGUUUCCUCUGCCUCUCCAGUUCCUGCAGGGGAGGCACUUUUGAAAUGUUUGUUAAUGAUCAGAGAUACAGGAAGGCACACCAUGUCCCAACAACGCAAUCGAAGGUGGUCAGAAGUGACGUGGCCUAUCUUGCAAGGUGGUGAGCUCCCCGCCACUGAAGGAAUUCAAACAGAGGCCAAGGGAGCUUUUUGGGAGCUCUUCAAGUCUAAGAUCCAGGGGUCUAAGGUUUCAGAAUUCCGGAAUCUAAAGUUUCCAUAACUUGAAGUUUCUGAAAGUCAACAUUUCUAAGACCCUAUGAGUCGAGAAACCUUUAAUCCAAGGGGAGUCAAGAUGGGACUUUCUGUGGGGAAUGUAAGUGAGGGGCGGAGGGGCUAAGGAAUGGAUGUGAACUUUUAUUUUGCUCCCAGGGUGAACCGACUACCCACAGAAAAGAAAUCUAUAAAGAAAUCUGUGCAAAAGAGCCAAGUGGUUUAGCUUCUUUAACUUAGAAAAACACAAAAUAUUUUGUAUCUCCAGACAGGACUGGAGCUCUGGUGGGAGUUUGGUAAAGGAUGGAUUCCUCUGUGUGCUGGCAACCCGCUUCUCCAGAAAAAAUGCCUGAGUCUGCAGUGUCUGCCAAUUUCCAUGGUGCAAAUAUUCCCACCAUGGUCGAUUUCAAGUUUCUGACAGUUCAGCAACCAGUUCCUAAACUUCUUAAAAAUGUAACAGUUGCCUUUUGUGACCUAGCAAAAGCUGGCUGCAGCGUGUCCUGGGAGGGGUGGCUGGCCAGGCCUCCAUAAGUGAGCAGGGAAGGGACAGAGGGGUGUGGUAUGGGCGCUUCUGUUCAAAUGGGAAGAGGGCUGUGCUGACCUCAAGGUGACAUCUGGAUCCUGAUGGGAAGGUUCCUGCCCCCGGGGAGGGAAGGACAGGGCUGCCUGUGCCCCUGUUGGCCAGGGAGGCAUGCAAGGGCAGAGGCUGGGGUUCCCAGCUGCUGGGACUGGGACGGCAGCUGGGUGUGGGGCGGGUGAGGAAAGGCAGCAACUGUCCCUUCCCCAGACCCUCGCCUCAGCUGAGGCGGGACAUUCGCCCGUUUCCCACUCAGUUACUCCAUGAAGAUUUAUGCAGAGCAGGGAUCACUGCUCCCAUUUCCCAGAUGUGAAAAUUGAGACCCGAACAGGCAAAGGAAUUUGUUUCCAACCACGUAGUUGCCAAGUAAUAAAAUAAAUGUAGCUCAGAUGGAUUGCACGUUUACUCUGAGCCAGGUCCACACGCAAGAGCUUGAUUUGUUGAGUAGGUCAGGGUCCCAGGAAGCAGACCUGAGAUAAAGAUCCCUGUGCAAGAGACUCGUUACCAAGGUGUGCCCAGGUGGGGGGACAGGGAGGAAGUGGCGUUGCAGAACAGGGCAGGGGAGGAAGCCAAGCAAGGGUCUGAUGUCAGACAACGCCCUGGCCCAGCCUUGGGCAUAGAGAGCACCCUGCAGUCAGUCCCACCUGGAAGCUUUCACAUGCCUGCUCCGGCCAGUCAUCGGCUAUGGGCCACGCCAGGGGCACAUGAACUGCCCGGCUCGUGAGGCUGCUGCGUCCCUGGUCAGGCCUCCCAAUAAGGGGUCCUUAUUGGCAUCGAAACACACAGGAGCUUUGGUAACAUGUCAGAGGGCUUGGCGGUGGGCACCGGCAGUGCCCACUCACAUGCAUUAGCUCAUUUGUUCCUUACAGCAACCCCAGGUGGUACUGUCACCCCCACUUUGCAGAUGGGGGCAAUGAGGCACAGAGAAGUGGAGCUACUUGCCCGGCGUCACACAGCUGGCGAACGUCAGAGGCCUGUACCCAGCUCCUGUUCUCUUCUGGGAGGAAGGAGGUUUCCAGGCAUGUCUUCCAAGCCCGGAAGGACACAGGAACCCCGCCACCAGCCCUCACAGCCUGUCAUCCCACCACGACAGAAUCUGGCUCUGUGAAUCUUUCAAAUGUUUCUUUAAACAAUGGAGGCACCUGACGUGGUGGCCCAUGCCUGUAGUCCCAGCUACU